rnacentral:rRNA from 1 species
GAUGAACGCUAGCUACAGGCUUAACACAUGCAAGUCGAGGGACCGGCGCACGGGUGAGUAACACGUAUCCCACCUGCCCUUUACUCGGGGAUAGCCUUUCGAAAGAAAGAUUAAUACCCGACAUAAAGGAUGGGGAUGGGUUCCAUUAGGUUGUUGGUGAGGCAACAGCCAACCAAGCCUUCCAUGGAUAGGGGUUCUGAGAGGAAGGGCCCCCGCAUUGGAACGGAGACACAGGCCAAACGCGUACGGGAGGCAGCAGGGAGGAAUAUUAGUCAAUGGGCGCUAGCGUGAACCAGCCAAGUAGCGGGAAGGAUGAAUGCUUAUGGGUCGUAAACUUCUUUUAUAGAAGAAUAUGUAUUAUAUGAAUAAGGAUCGGCUAACUCCGUGCCAGCCGCCGCGGUAAUAC